rnacentral:lncRNA from 1 species
AUAAAAUAAAAGUAUAUGCAUCCGUUAAAUUACAUCUUUGCAUAUCAUAUAGACUCAACUACUCUCGCCGACGGAGACUACGAACUAAUCCCGGAUCAAGAAGGGGAAAUUUCUGAAGACCCCGGGAACGUCGUCGGAAGUUUAACUGAAGCUCCGAACCCAAGUUCGGAAACUUUGACACUCCUGCCCCCAACCCAACUCAAGAAGGCAAGCCCCGGUGCAUAACCCAGUAUUUCAAAUUACUACAUUAUGCAAUCUUAUAUAUUAUAUCUCGCAUUAAGUCUAGGAGAUGAAAUGAAACCAUAGAUGCAUGAAUCCUAAGAACCUAUGUAUUGUACCUGAGUCCUUACCGCAUAGAUGCUCUGCUAAUAGGACCGGUAGAAGUCGGGUGAUUUUCUGUCACUCGCGCGAUAUAGGAAUUGCAAUGUUUACAUUCCUGUAAUCAUAUAAGGACGAUAUACGGGAUUUAGGUGAUGUAUCAUAAUGGAGAUGAUACCCGUCUGUGUUGGUGAAUUUGGUUAAGGUCGCAGUGUGUGGUAGCGGUGGUUAAGCGUUUGAAAGUACUAGCCACAUGCCGCGAAAUAUGGUAAGCGGUAAGCCUAGUAACCAAUCGGCCCGAGGAGUGGACAUACCUCCCACCACUCAUAUUUGGUUUUUCCUGUUACUCGCUUCGACGUGUGGGAAUACGUGUUGCCGGGCAAUCAGGAGUACGGUCAUGUAGUCGCACUACAGACGUAUGUCCUGCACAUUGGAUGUGUGUAUGGUCCUGCAGUCGCUUGUGGUGGAUCUGAUCCAUGAAUCGGAAUGAAAGGCAAAUGGUUGCUUCGGAAUAAUCUCUGGAUAUUCCAAGCGUGUGAGUUAGGUUUACCCUUGCAAGGCUGAAAUUCGAUUCAGGAAUCGUCCGUUUCUCGCGGAGAUUGAGACUACUUGAUCCCUUUGCCACAUAGAGUAAUAAGAGCAACUUUAUGGUUAUCAAAGAUGAUGUUUGGCUAAAGAUUCUACCAUGCUUGAAUAGCUAUAGGUACUUAUCUAUAAUGGAUAAUCACAUAGAACUUGAAAGCUAAAAGUGAAAUUAAGGAUCUACUCUUUGUUGCUUUUCAGCUGUAAACUUUACUCAUAACCAGAAAAGCCUUUAUAAGUCUAGUUACAUGGCUAAGUAUACCAUGAACGGGUAAGCCUUGCUGAGUAUUAGAAUACUCAGUCUUGCAUUGUGACUUUUAUUCAGGUAAUUCCCCUGAAGACUUUGCUCUGCCUAUGCCAUGGCCUUAUCCUCUACCCGAUGGUUGGUCCGUGGAGUGGGACCCAUCCCCGGCCAACACUGAUCAUACCGAGUGAUGUUAUGCCAGGGCUUAGCAUGAUGUCUGGAUUGGCGACGUGUACAGUGACCGUGUUUUAAACUCCGCUGCCAUGACUUGAAACCUUAAACUGUUUUGUAAUAAUUUCCAUCAGUUUGGAACUUAUGUUACUUUUGAAUACUCAUGUGAUAUAAAUGCCUGUGAUGUAAAAUAUAUUGGCGAUUGUAUCUCUGGACUCGCCUUCGUGCGAGGUACCUUGUUUGAUCUUGCAUUAGGUGGUUUAUCAGGACGUUACCCGACAGGCCAAGGGCUUACACCGUUUGAAGUACGUUGGAGCCCUUGAGAGAGGACUUGCGUACUUGAACCGGUAUAAUUCAGGUUGGUUCUGCCACACAGCCGAAGUUGUAAUACUAUAACAUACUAGUAUAAUGCUCAUGCUAAUGCUACAGUAACAGCCAAAAGACACUAUAUAUUUUGAAAAUGAUGCAUAGAAUGAGAUAGAUAAAGGUUCAUGUGAAAAGUUAUCAUCUUGUUAAAUGCAUAGCAUUUGCACUUCAAAUAACAUCACAGAAAUUGUAUCUUGCAACAUGGCCUGUUAGAAAAAGUGAGCAUCAACAUUCUUUUAUUAUUUUAUGAAUCCUUCUUUGCAAACCAUAAAUACAUUGAGCAUUGGGCACCAGCAAGGAAUGGAAGAUGUCACUUUGUCGGUGUAAGUAUUUUGAGGAAACACAUGGCUAACAAAGCUGGCACCACCACUAUAUCAACCAAACGGGAACAAUGUUUUGCUCCUUACCCAGAUGGCGUUCUUGCAAUUCAAAUUGAUGCGGUACAAGAACCAACCGGUUAUAGUCUAACUUGGCUUUGCGUUGACGUGAAAACGUGCCAUGCCAAACACUGAGCACUGAACAUGCAGCCCGCAGAGGCUCUUUUUGUUGAGCCUCGGCGGAAAUCGGAUGUUCCGGUCUCCAGAAACAAGAAGUUCCAGAAUCUCUAGGGUUUGGCUAGGAAAGCAUGAAACAGUCACCCCAAAGGGAUAAAUAGCACGCUUACGUGGUGAAGGUGUUGUCGGUCAAAACCCACCGGCGAGUAGCGACAGGCAACACGAGGAGCCGGGAGGCUCCCGGGACUGCUGGUGCGUCCUGGUCCCUCGGUCAACGGCCUGAAAUCCGGCACACGCCCUGGCUUCUAGGUUGCUAGGCGUGGCACCUGACCUUGUACCUGAUCAGGAAGGUGUUAUGUGUUAGUUUCCUGCAUGCACAGACAUGUGUAAACAUUAGUCCGAGCCGUGAUCGGCUCAUCGAAUGAUUCCCGGUAUCGGCUGUAAAGAGCCGAUUGUGUUGGGUAUCGGAUCGGUUCUAUAAAUAAAGCAAAUAUGUCCGAUGGUAAUACAAAUCUUGCUCUGUAAUCAUUAAGCUAAUCCAAUCUACGACGACUAAAGCUUUCACUACGUAAUCGGAACAUCCUACAUGUAACUGAGCCUAACAAAUGCUGAAGGUAGCAAGACAACAAUCUAAAUAGAAGCCUAAAAAUCAACCAAAAGCCGAUUCACAGGACAAUCCUUUUUCAAGCUGUUAUAAAAUACCCAGAACACUGCCAGAACAUUCAAUUCGUUUGAAGAGCCUAAUCAUGCAGAUAUUAAACUAAACCCUCGAUUAACGAAGGCUAACCGUAACAGAUUAGAUCUACUAAACAAGUACAAAGAAAAGUACUGCCCUUAUACCUGAGAUCGAGUACAUGGACAGCCAGACGUUUACAGGAACCAAGCAAAGCAUAAUUAACACAUGAAAGAGCCGAUGCUACCCUAUAAACGCCAAGAUAACUGGUGUUACUCGCCAUCAACAACGCUUCAGAACGAGAAACAUGAAAAGUAAAUAAGUAAGAAUGAUGCUGCCCCGAUCACACAGGGCGUGAUCAGGGCCGCACGGCGCUUACCCGAGAAACCCUAGAACAGGGGUGGCGAUGCGCCGAGAGUUGUUGGUGAAUGAUUCGAUUUUUUUUAUUGUUUACCCAAGAUACAUAUCUGCAAAGGGUCCGAUCCGCAAGCCCAUUAUAACUAUCCUUCAAACCCAUCUUGCUCCACGACCCACCUUUCUGGCCUGCCUAAAUUAUGGCGAUAACAUAUGCCCCCCUGGUUUCGGCAAUAAUUAUUCUGAAACCAUUUCCCUUUUAAUCGCCUCAUCUCUUCGACUUCCGAAAUCCGUACAGGCGUGCCUCUUGAACUUUCAGGGGAUGUGACUGCUCUGCAUCAGGCUCCUUGGAAACCGUUACGGUGCCGAUUCACCUUCCACUUCGCCUUUAUAGACUUACCCCCGGCAACUUUCUCCCAAUCGUCUUCUUCUCUUCAGACAUUAGCAACCACAUCUAACCCAAUUUUUUCCUCCUCUUGCAAUGGCUUCUUCCUCUUCCUCUGCUUCUUCCACCAUCUCCUUUGAAUCUGAAUCCUCCCGAGAGCCUACUCCGGAAUAUGAUCCGAUAGCUGCCUACGAGAUCCUUGCCCCCCUGCAUUGGGAUGCGGGAGUGUCAGACCCGGGGCUACAGGGCUGUGUACAUAAUAUAGUUUAAACAAGGUUAAGAGAUAAAGCCCAUCUUAUCUCUUAUUUAAGUUGUUUUCUACUCGUUUGAGUAGGAGAUAAAGCUAGUUGAUGCAGAAGAAAACUACCCGAGUUAUACCCGGGUAUGAUUCCUUAGCUCGUAUUGAUUAGAUCCAUGUAACCCUGACCUCCUGGAUAUAUAAGGGGGGCAGGGACCCCCUCAAAACAUCUGAUUCUACGCCCAAGGGAAUACAAACCACCAUACAGGACGUAGGGUAUUACGCACCUCGCGGCCCGAACCUGUCUAAAUCUUGUGUUCCUUGCACCUUCGAGUUCCUGAUCUCAGCGUCUCCUCACCUAAACAUACAUACUUGGGUAUACCCUUCGGUGGGCAGCCGGUAAAACACCGACAGCUGGCGCCCCAAGUAGGGGAGUGCAUCGAAGAUCCACCGGCAAACUUGAUGGCAUCUUUCCAGUUCACCAGGUCAGUUCCCUCUCAGGGCACGACAUUUGUUUUUGGCUUGAGGGUCUGCAUCGCAGAUGGUGCAGGCAGUUUCUGUCGAUUCCUCGUCGACAUGAAGCUGAAAACUCCCACGGCGGGUCCUCGAAGCAACCUUGACAAGUUCGUUGAUGAUCUCGAUGACUUGUCAAUUCAUGCAUCUGCUGCAAGGAUCGAGGUGGAGUCUGCUUCCGGCGCACAACGCUGCAUCAACUUUCCUUGGGUUGGACUCUUUCCAAUCUAAGGAUUCGCGUAACUGAUCACGACUCGGUCUACGCAAUUUGGCCACUGAUCUCCAGGAGGCAGACAUGUCCGAGUCCCUCUCCGCAUUAGAGAAGGACUUGGACUGUCUGCUCCAACUUGGAGGGCCCGAAGCCACCGCAUGUCAGGGGGCUUUGGGUUGUUUUAGUGCUAGCGGUUUGAUGAUCACCUCCACCCCGGAGGGGUGUUUCGUGCAUUGGAAGGGCAUGAAACCCUCUGAUCUACUCGAGGCUGAGGAUCGACUUGUGGGCCACCUCGAGCCUUUGCCUUUUCAGGAGGGCAGGCCAUUAGCCACCGUGGUGGAGGGGUCGACUGAACUAGUCGAUGAGAGCUCUGAGGAGCUCAUCUCACACCAGGUGCUGAUGGCGGAAGAAGGCGAGGACGAUGGUGACUUGCCCAUCAUUGAAUUUGAUGCGGUCUCCGAGGACAAAGCCACAGCCAACGCCUGCGACAAAAAUGACGCCGAUCAUGAGGCACGGAGGACCCGAAAAUGACGCCGAAUUCGCUGCUGUAAGCGAGCGGGGCUUCAGGACUUCGGUGGCCAACAUCGCUAGGGUCACGGCCAUACUCGAGCGCAGCAACCAUCCGAACGUGCGUCAAGCACUUCGUUACGCACAGAGGGAUAUCCUCUUUUAAAAGUAGCUUAGUUCCAUCUGCUAUAGCUUGAAGCAGUCCCAGGGGGCCAGCAUAUUCAGGACCAAUACGUUGUUGUAUCGAUGCGGAUAUUUCUCUUUCUAACCACACAAUUAUGAGUACUUGUAUUGUGAUUCCCAGUAGGAGGGUCAAAAUGGGUAGAAUCCAUAUCAGUCCGUAGACUUCUUUUAAUAAUUCCGAUUUCGAAAAAGAAUUGAUAGUUUCUACCUCUAUUAUCAUUUCAACGAUCAACUUCCCCCAUAAUGAUAUCUAUACUACCUAAUAUCAUCAUGAUAUCAGCCAAUUUCAUUUUUUUUAACUAGCUGAGGAAGAAUUUGCAAAUUAAUAAAACCAGGUGGACGAAUUUUCCAUCUCCAGGGGAAAAGACUAUCAUCUCCUACCAGAUAAAUUCCUAACUCACCUUUUGGAGCUUCUACUCUUACAUAAAGCUCUUGCUUUGAUAAUUCAAAAUUGGGCGAAGGCUUUUUACCAAGAAAUCGAUAUUCAAAAUCAUUCCAUUCGGAAUUCUUUGCUUUCUUAAAGCGUCGGGCUUCUAAAUUCUCAUAAGGUCCUCCCGGAAUUUUCUCUACAGCUUGUUGAAUAAUUUUUAUGGAUUCCCUCAUUUCAUCGAUUCGUACUAAAUAGCGAGCUAACGAAUCUCCUUCUUUUUGCCAUUGUACUUUCCAAUCAAAUUGAUUAUAAGACUCAUAAGGAUCAAUUUUACGAAGAUCCCAUUGUGUUCCAGAAGCUCGUAACAUUGGGCCCGAUAAGCCCCAAUUUACAGCUUCUUCGCCGCUAAUAAAACCGACUCCUUCAACUCGUUCUAAAAAAAUAGGAUUCCGUGUAAUAAGUUGUUGAUAUUCAACAACUCCUCGUAAAAAAUAAUCACAGAAAUCUAAACAUUUAUCCAUCCAUCCAUAAGGUAGAUCAGCAGCUACUCCUCCGAUGCGAAAGUAAUUAUGCAUCAUUCGCAUACCUGUAGCAGCUUCAAAUAGAUCAUAUAUCAAUUCUCUCUCUCUAAAAAUGUAGAAAAAAGGAGUCUGUGCCCCGAGAUCCGCCAUAAAAGGUCCAAGCCAUAACAGGUGAGAAGCUAUACGGCUCAAUUCUAACAUAAUUACCCUAAUAUAGCUGGCUCUUUGGGGUAUUUGAAUAUUCUCCAAGAAUUCUGGUGCAUUUACCGUUAUUGCUUCUGUAAACAUAGUAGCUAAAUAAUCCCAUCGUGUUACAUAAGGCAAGUAUUGUAUAAUAGUUCUGUUUUCCGCGAUUUUUUCCAUUCCUCUGUGUAAAUACCCUAAUAUGGGUUCGCAAUCAAUAACAUCUUCACCAUCGAGAGUAACGAUCAGUCGAAGAACACCAUGCAUUGAUGGGUGUUGAGGGCCCAUAUUGACUAUCAUGAGAUCUUUUCUUGUAAGCGGUGGACUCGUAUCCUUGUUCUUAUUCUUUUUUCCAUGAAAAUGGAUUAUUCCAUGAAUUCCUCAAAACGAGGCUCAUCAAAAUGCAAAAUCUAAGACUACUAAUAAAAUAAGAAAAAAUUCGAACGAUUAAAUUACUUCUCCCGAAUAUCCAACUGACUGAUUAAUUUCUUAUAACGUACUCAAUUUUUCUUUGCCAAAUAAGCCAGCAAACGUUGACGUUUUCCCAAAAGUCUUCGUAGACCUCUUUCCAAUGAAAAAUCUUUUUUGUGUAAUUCCAAAUGUGAAGCAAGUCUCCGUAUCUUAUUGGUGAAACUGAAUACUUGAAAUUCAACAGAACCCCUGUUUUCUUGUUUUUCUUCUUUAACCAUAAAUCAAAAAAAAAUUCUACCUCCUUUCUUUUUCAUGUAUUUUUCUGAUCAGGAAGAAUAAAAAAUUAUGUCAAUUAUUUUGAAGUUAUUCUAAUCUCGUACACACAAAAAUUUGCAAUUAUUCAUCUACUGCUGGAAUUUGGAAUUUGGAUUUAUUGUAUCGAUGCAAAUUGGAUUUGGAUAGAAGGGUACAUUCUUUUAUUUUAGAUAGAAGAAACAUUUCUUCUAUCUAAAAUAAAAGAAUUUUGCUGAUUUAUUGCUAUAUCCAAUUUAUAGAAUUGAUAUAGCAUUUAAUUGCUAUCAUUUAGCAAAAUGAAACACAGCAUAUGCAUCCAUCUUUCGGCUCGAGAAUUUCACGGGAUAGAGAUAUAGUAUAAGAAAUAGGCUAUUAAGUUACUCUAAAUGAAUUGUGGAUAC